rnacentral:rRNA from 1 species
CCGCUUNGAAUUAAGCAUAUCAAUAAGCGGAGGAAAAGAAACCAACAGGGAUUACCUCAGUAACGGCGAGUGAAGCGGUAACAGCUCAAAUUUGAAAGCUGCCAACAGGCCGCGUUGUAAUUUGUAGAAGAUGCUUUGGGUGUUGGCCUAGUCUAAGUUCCUUGGAACAGGACGUCAUAGAGGGUGAGAAUCCCGUAUGUGAUUAGUGCCAUCCCCCGUGUAAAGCUCUUUCGACGAGUCGAGUUGUUUGGGAAUGCAGCUCAAAAUGGGUGGUAAAUUUCAUCUAAAGCUAAAUAUUGGCCAGAGACCGAUAGCGCACAAGUAGAGUGAUCGAAAGAUGAAAAGCACUUUGGAAAGAGAGUUAAACAGUACGUGAAAUUGUUGAAAGGGAAGCGCUUGCAAUCAGACUUGCAGGCGGUUGAUCAUCCGAGGUUCUCCCCGGUGCACUCGAUCGUCUUCAGGCCAGCAUCGGUUUCAGUGGUGGGAUAAAGGCUGUGAGAAUGUGGCUCUUCGGAGUGUUAUAGCUCACGGUGCAAUGCCGCCUACUGGGACCGAGGACCGCGCUUCGGCUAGGAUGCUGGCGUAAUGGUUGUAAGCGACCCGUCUGGAAAACCACGGAA